UCUCAAUAAAACUUUUUCCUUGCCUUUUUACUAUACUGUUUCACCACUUAGUCCUUUUUUUUAAAAAAAAAAAACUUGGCUUAAAGACACAGCUGCUAGAACACGUGAGUAUAAAAAACUUUUUCUCUUUUCUCCUUAAGUUAAAUUGGAAUCAGCAGUUUUUUCUUUUUCUUCCCUUUAAUCUUAAGGGACAGCUGGGUAGCUCAGCGGAUUGAGAGCCAGCCCUAGAGGCAGAAGGUCCUGGGUUCAAAUCGGACCUCAGAUACUUCCCAGCUGUGUGACUCUGAUAGACAGAAAACAGCUGUUUUUAAAUCUCAGCAACAGGACUCUAAAGUCCUGGCUGGAAGAACUGUUUCUAAAUAUCCUUUCCCUUAAGGAACAACUUCCUGGAUUAAAAAAAAAAAAACCCUGUGGAAAGUUUGUUGCUUUGCCCUGCUCCCCACGUGUUUUGUGAAAUUACAAAAUAUACAUAUAAAAAUGAGUACUACAUUCUUUGACAAUUAUAUGGCAGCUGAAGAAGUAGGGGCAUUGAGGAAUGAAGGAUACCUCCAAAUUUUUAUAUUAAUAGGUACUGUCAUUUUUGUACUCCUCAAUACUAUAUUUAGAGAUGAAAAAAUAAAAAAUAUUGAGGAUAAAAUAAAACAAAAUGAGGAUAAAAUAAAACAAAAUGAGGAUAAAAUAAAACAAAAUGAGGAUAAAAUAAAACAAAAUGAGGAUAAAAUAGAAAAUAUUGAGGAUAAAAUAGAAAAUGUUGAGGAUAAAAUAGAAAAAAAUGAGGAUAAAAUAGAAAAUAUUGAGGAUAAAAUAGAAAAUAUUGAGGAUAAAAUAGAAAAAAUUGAGGAUACAAUAGAAAAAAUUGAGGAUACAAUAGAAAAAAUUGAGGAUAAAAUAGGAAAUAUUGAGAAUAAAAUAGAAAAACUUGAGGAUAAAAUAGGAAAUAUUGAGAAUAAAAUAGGAAAUAUUGAGGAUAAAAUGGGAGAUAUGGAAGAUAAAAUAGGAAAAAUUGAGGAAAAAAUGCAAGCCCAAUUAGAAGAUCUAAAAUGUUUCUUACAGGAUCAAUGGGCAAACACCCACUCUACCAGAAACAGACCUGUUUCUGAACCUUUGAAUGAGGAAAUUUCCUUCCCUGAAAUAGAGAUGGAAAACACCUUCCCUAUAGCCCAGUUAACAGACUGCUUCUCUCGUGCAGUGCAAAUCUUGUCUGAAUUUAAUCCCCAAAACCCUUCCCCUGCAAUCCCAGCUUCUCAUGGUCCUUCUCCUACAGAAAACCAAAUUCCAAUGCAAGGGAGAUCUUGUCCUCCUAGAGAAACCUGUCCUUGUCAAACUGACCCACAGGUGCAAAAUUCAACUAGAGGCCUGUUUCCUCUAAGAGAAGUACCUGAAAUAGGACGAAAUGGGGAUGUGGUGACUUUAAGACAUAGGAUACCGUUUACUCCCCAAGAAAUAAAUGAAUUUACACGAAAUAUCCCCACAUAUGAACAAGAUCCUUUUCUAGUAACAAAAAAGAUGGGAGACAUAUUUUUUCAGUAUAAUCCGUCUUACAAGGACAUUGAGAGCUUACUACAGGCUUUUUUAAGUGAACGUGAAAAAAAUAAAAUAAUUGCUCAUGUCAACAAAACCCGGGGGCGUAAUGCAGCACAUUGGCCAUCUCAGGAUCCCGAAUGGGACUAUAAUAAUCCUGAGGACUAUCUACAACUAUACCGUUGUAGAGAGGCCAUCCCUCA
rnacentral:lncRNA from 1 species